GGCCCCGUCAUCUAGUGGACUAGGAUCCAUGGUUCUCAGCCAUGGCACACGGGUUCGAAUCCCGUCGGGGCCA
rnacentral:tRNA from 1 species